UUUGUACUGUGAAACUGCGAAUGGCUCAUUAAAUCAGUUAUAGUUUAUUUGAUGAUACCUUGCUACAUGGAUAACUGUGGUAAUUCUAGAGCUAAUACAUGCAUUAAAGCCCUGACUUCUGGAAGGGGUGUAUUUAUUAGAUAAAAAACCAACGCGGCUCGCCGCUCCCUUGGUGAUUCAUAAUAACUUCUCGAAUCGUAUAGCCUUGUGCUGACGAUGCUUCAUUCAAAUAUCUGCCCUAUCAACUUUCGAUGGUAGGAUAGUGGCCUACCAUGGUUUCAACGGGUAACGGGGAAUAAGGGUUCGAUUCCGGAGAGGGAGCCUGAGAAACGGCUACCACAUCCAAGGAAGGCAGCAGGCGCGCAAAUUACCCAAUCCCGACACGGGGAGGUAGUGACAAUAAAUAACAAUAUAGGGCUCUUUCGGGUCUUAUAAUUGGAAUGAGUACAAUUUAAAUCCCUUAACGAGGAACAAUUGGAGGGCAAGUCUGGUGCCCAGCAGCCA
rnacentral:rRNA from 1 species